UUUUGUCUUGCCUGUUCGUCUGGUACUUUCCUCUCAGAUGAGGUAAAGCAAGGCUUGUGUCCUACUGCUUGAGUCCCCAGAGGGUCCCUGAGCCAAGUUAAGCCAGGCCAGAUGCUCGACCAUGAGUGGGACGCUAGCUUCUUAGACCGGGCCUGGACAUGUGAGAUCAAGGCAAGCCGCUGCAGAUCUGUCAGAAUAGCCUAGAAGUCUACACCAGGACCACAGGGGUUCCAAGCUGAGAAUGGCAGCAGGCUUAUAGCUUAGCUACUUAGGAGGCUGAAACAGGAGGAUUGCUUUAACCUGUAAGUAUGGGGCUAACCUAUUCCCCACGGUGAGGCCCUUGUCUCGAAAAAAAAAAAAAAAAAAAGACAGGUUAGUCAGGGUCAUUUCAGUUAAAGGUCUUUCUGGGGAGCGGCAAAGAUGCGGGGGUGGGGGUAGAGGGGGGUGACUUACGAUGACUUUCUUGCAUCCAGCAGCAUCCAGACUUCAUCGUGAAGGCACGGCCUCUUUUGACCUGAAGUUGCUCCCACUACAACCCAGGGUGUGCCCUAGACUUGUCUGUCCCUGCACCUCCCAUCUAAAGGACGAAAAAUGGGUUCUCUGGCUGAGAGCCUGGCCCCAAACAGCUACCAUCUUCAGUGCCAAGGACAGGCUGGACUGGGAAGCCCCAUAACCUGAUGGGGAUUUUCCUAAGAGUCCAGAGAAGCCAGGUCCCAUCAUGGACACCAUUGUCGUUCCAACCUGUUCAGCCAUCCUGGAGAUCUCCAAAACCAAGAAAUAAGCUGCUUUUGUGAUCUAGCCAUAACGUGUUUGGAGCAGGGUGAGCCGGAGAGACCCUCUUGGCAAAGAAGAAAUGUCAUUUGGGACUUCCCCUCCCUGCUGUUCAUCUGUGGGAUCAUCUUACUGGGGUUAGCAGAGCCUCUGCCUGCAAGUGUCCCACAUUCCCCAGCCUUGGCCUUCAGCUGUGUAGAAACCGAGCCCUGAAGGAAACAGUCAUCACCCAUGGCAACAAGAACAGAUGCGGGUUCAGUGCAUCCUUCCCGGAUCCAGUCUGCACAGGGUGUUCCAGCCAGCUCUGGAGUCCCGGCCCUAUGUCACAUUCUUUCCUUCCCUACUUUCUGCUGCAGGGAUCUCAAGCCCCAACAUGGAAAUGGGAGACAGAUUUAGAAACAGCUGGAGCUCUUGUCCCUCCACUGCAGGACUUGCUUCUCCAGUCACUAAGUGUAGAUGGGGUUCUGGGGUUCAUACAUGCUCACUAAAAUCACCACUGGAAUAGCUGCCUAGCAUCCUGACGUUCCACCCAUUCUGUCUCUUCCCUUCCUCUCUUCUUUCCUUUUGGUUUAUGUUUUCAAAUCUAUGUACCGCAGUCUGGUCUUGAAUUCACUAACCAAACUAGCUUCAAACUCAGUGAUCCUUCUACCUCACUCAGUCCACCAAAGGCUAAGAUUAUAGAUGUGCACCACUGUCAAAAUCUAAAAAUAAAAGGGUAGAUAUGUAGCAGGACUGGCAGGGCUGCCUCUAUGUAAACGCUGGGGCCCAUCAGCUGCAGAAACAUUUCCUAUAGAAAGACCUAAUCGAGGACUUGCCUGAGAAGCCAAGAAUUGCUGGUGCAGACAAUGCCAGCCAAUCAGGAACGGCUGUUUAGAAGAGAUGCUUUCUUGGGACCAAUGGGGUGCGGGUGGAGGGUGUUAAAGAAGCUUGCAGCAGUGCUCAGGUGAGCUUGCUGCAGCAUUUCUCACCUGCUCCCGGAGUCUGUUUCGUUGACUCUGCGCCAACUCACCCCCAACCCCCAAGGGCAGGUAGGGUCAGGCAGAGAGAUGUCCAGGGCAGAGGUAACACACCACCAUGCCCAGCUCAUGAGGGUCUGUUGUUUGUCGGCUUGUUUAUUUCUGAGAAAAGGUCUCUGUAGCCAAGACUGGCUUUGAAGUCUGGAUCCUCCUAUAUCAGCCUAUCUUGUCCUACCUGGCUAGUGUGAGCCACCAAGCCAGGCUUCCUCCCUCCCUUUCUUCCCCUUCUUCCUCCCUCCUCUUCCUUUCUGUCUCUCUUUCGCUAUGCCAGAGAUCAAACCCAGGGCUUUGGACGUGCCAGGCAAGCAUUCAGAGACACACCCCUGGCCUCUUGGUUUUUUUGUUUGUUUUAAUUUACUUAUUUUUGAGAUCAGACUUGUCUGUCACAUUGCCUGGAACUCCCGAGAUCCAGUUUUUCUCCUGCUUCGGCUUCUAUAGUGGUUGGGAAUAUAGGGUGUUUGGAACCACACCUGGACUAACGUAUCUUUGAAAAUACGAAUUAAAGGCCAGUAGUUCAGCGGGUAAAGAAAGUUAACAACCUGAGUUUGAUUUCUAGGACUCAGAUGACACAUGUUAUCUUGCAUGUUAUCCUCUGACUUAAACACACACACAUGCGCAAACACACACACACACACACACACACACACACACACACACACACACACGCGCGCGCGCUAAAAAAACAAAAAAAAUUAUACAUUGUACUGGCUAGUUUUGUGUCAACUUGACACAGCUGGAGUUAUCACAGAGAAAGGAGCUUCAGUUGAGGAAAUGCCUCCAUGAGAUCCAGCUGCAAGGCAUUUUCUCAAUUAGUGAUCAAGGGGGAAAGGCCCCUUGUGGGUGGGACCAUCUCU
rnacentral:lncRNA from 1 species